AUUGAACGCUGGCGGCAUGCCUAACACAUGCAAGUCGAACGGCAGCACGGACUUCGGUCUGGUGGCGAGUGGCGAACGGGUGAGUAAUACAUCGGAACGUGCCCAGUCGUGGGGGAUAACGUAGCGAAAGCUACGCUAAUACCGCAUACGAUCUAAGGAUGAAAGCGGGGGAUCGCAAGACCUCGCGCGAUUGGAGCGGCCGAUGGCAGAUUAGGUAGUUGGUAGGGUAAAGGCCUACCAAGCCGACGAUCUGUAGCUGGUCUGAGAGUAUGAUCAGCCGCACUGGGACUGAGACACGGCCCAGAUUCCUACGGGAGGCAGCAGUGGGGAAUGUUGGACAAUGGGCGCAAGCCCGAUCCAGCCAUUCCGCGUGCAGGAUGAAGGCCUUCGGGUUGUAAACUGCUGUUGUACAGAACGAAAAGGCUCUGGUUAAUACCCGGGGCUCAUGACGGUACUGUAAGAAUAAGCACCGGCUAACUACGUGCCAGCCGCCGCAGUAAAAC
rnacentral:rRNA from 1 species